rnacentral:rRNA from 1 species
AUGAACGCUGGCGGCGUGCUUAACACAUGCAAGUCGAACGAAGCACUUUAUUUGAUUUCCUUCGGGACUGAUUAUUUUGUGACUGAGUGGCGGACGGGUGAGUAACGCGUGGGUAACCUGCCUUGUACAGGGGGAUAACAGUUGGAAACGGCUGCUAAUACCGCAUAAGCGCACAGCAUCGCAUGAUGCAGUGUGAAAAACUCCGGUGGUAUAAGAUGGACCCGCGUUGGAUUAGCUAGUUGGUGAGGUAACGGCCCACCAAGGCGACGAUCCAUAGCCGACCUGAGAGGGUGACCGGCCACAUUGGGACUGAGACACGGCCCAAACUCCUACGGGAGGCAGCAGUGGGGAAUAUUGCACAAUGGGCGAAAGCCUGAUGCAGCGACGCCGCGUGAGCGAAGAAGUAUUUCGGUAUGUAAAGCUCUAUCAGCAGGGAAGAUAAUGACGGUACCUGACUAAGAAGCACCGGCUAAAUCCGUGCCAGCAGCCGCGGUAAUACGUAUGGUGCAAGCGUUAUCCGGAUUUACUGGGUGUAAAGGGAGCGCAGGCGGUGCGGCAAGUCUGAUGUGAAAGCCCGGGGCUCAACCCCGGUACUGCAUUGGAAACUGUCGUACUAGAGUGUCGGAGGGGUAAGCGGAAUUCCUAGUGUAGCGGUGAAAUGCGUAGAUAUUAGGAGGAACACCAGUGGCGAAGGCGGCUUACUGGACGAUAACUGACGCUGAGGCUCGAAAGCGUGGGGAGCAAACAGGAUUAGAUACCCUGGUAGUCCACGCCGUAAACGAUGGUCACUAAGUGUCGGGGGUCAAACCCCGGUGCUGCAGUCAACGCAAUAAGUGACCCGCCUGAGUAGUACGUUCGCAAGAAUGAAACUCAAAGGAAUUGACGGGGGCCCGCACAAGCGGUGGAGCAUGUGGUUUAAUUCGAAGCAACGCGAAGAACCUUACCAGGUCUUGACAUCGAGUGACGUAUCCAGAGAUGGAUAUUUCCUUCGGGACACAAAGACAGGUGGUGCAUGGUUGUCGUCAGCUCGUGUCGUGAGAUGUUGGGUUAAGUCCCGCAACGAGCGCAACCCUUAUCUUUAGUAGCCAGCGGUCAGGCCGGGCACUCUAGAGAGACUGCCAGGGAUAACCUGGAGGAAGGCGGGGAUGACGUCAAAUCAUCAUGCCCCUUAUGACUUGGGCUACACACGUGCUACAAUGGCGUAAACAAAGGGAAGCAAAGCUGUGAAGCCGAGCAAAUCUCAAAAAUAACGUCUCAGUUCGGACUGUAGUCUGCAACCCGACUACACGAAGCUGGAAUCGCUAGUAAUCGCAGAUCAGAAUGCUGCGGUGAAUACGUUCCCGGGUCUUGUACACACCGCCCGUCACACCAUGGGAGUUGGGAAUGCCCGAAGCCAGUGACCUAACCGAAAGGGAGGAGCUGUCGAAGGCAGGCUCGAUAACUGGGGUG